rnacentral:tRNA from 1 species
GACUUCGUAGCUCAGAUGGUAGAGCAAAUGACUCUUAAUCAUUGGGUCGAGGGUUCGAUCCCCUCCGAGGUCA